rnacentral:rRNA from 1 species
GACGAACGCUGGCGGCGUGCUUAACACAUGCAAGUCGAACGGUGAAGCUCCAGCUUGCUGGAGUGGAUCAGUGGCGAACGGGUGAGUAACACGUGAGCAACCUGCCCCAGACUCUGGAAUAAGCGCUGGAAACGGCGUCUAAUACUGGAUACGAGAUCAAGCCGCAUGGUUAUGGUCUGGAAAGUUUUUCGGUUUGGGAUGGGCUCGCGGCCUAUCAGCUUGUUGGUGAGGUAAUGGCUCACCAAGGCGACGACGGGUAGCCGGCCUGAGAGGGCGACCGGCCACACUGGGACUGAGACACGGCCCAGACUCCUACGGGAGGCAGCAGUGGGGAAUAUUGCACAAUGGGCGAAAGCCUGAUGCAGCGACGCCGCGUGAGGGAUGACGGCCUUCGGGUUGCAAACCUCUUUCAGCAGGGAAGAAGCGAAAGUGACGGUACCUGCAGAAGAAGCACCGGCUAACUACGUG